rnacentral:tRNA from 1 species
GCCAUGGUGACCGUGGGUGGCCCUACGCGCGGACUUCAAAUCUGUGGGGGACUGACGUCCCAGGAGUUCAAUUCUCCCUCCGUGGCG